UAUUUGAGAAAAAUCAUUUCUAUUUUCUGCCACAAUCACAAUUUCUCACGUUUUGUUUAUUGGUUUUGUUACCUUGCACUGGAAAAAUCAACCUCAUAUGGAAAAAAAAAUCCUAGACGCCUCAAUCUUCAACAAUUGAUUUCGUUUGUCCACAGAACCCUCAAUCUUCAACAGAUUCCUCAAUUGAUUUCGUUCGACUCCGCAAAAUCCCAAUGGAUUUCGCCCGCUUCCACUUUCUCCGGCCAUCAUCGUUGCGGACUCUUCCUUCGUCCUCUCCGCUCCCUACGACAAACCUCUCUUUUCUUUCAUCGACCAUAUCUCUUUAACCCAUAACAAGGUGGACACCCGUGACCCAAUUGACAAUGGAGGGCUUUGAGUUUUGAUGUAAAAAGUAAAUAGGAGAUUAAACAAAAUUAUGAAAACGGUCAGGUUGUGUUUUAGAAUUCCCUGUUUAUUUAUUGUUGAUGUUUGAUACUUUGUAUGAAUGAACUUAUAAAUGUAAUCACAUGACGAAUUAACAAAA